CACACGAUGAUGGAGCCAAGGGAAAUGCCAAUGGAGAAAAAGACAUUUUUUAUAGCUAGACACAGAGAAAUAAUUGAUUUCUCUUUUCUUAGAAGUGUCUCUAGAGUUGGCUGUUUGAUUAAAGUUGCCCUUGAAAAAGAAAACAAUUAACUUAGAAUUUACAGGAAGCUAAGAAUUCCAAGAGUCAGGAAAAAUAAUACCAGGAAGGCCAGACAACAGGUCACAGGGGCAGCUGUGAGAAGUUUCAUUUUUUAUUAUAUCAUUUUUAAGCGAGAAGCUUAUUUGCUCACUAUUGCUAGAAGUAAUGCUUGAAACCUUAGAAGAGGAAAACCGCUCCUUUUCUCUUUGCCAUGUCAUGUUCUGCUGGAUCUGUUAUCAUACCCUGGCAUAUAUGUCUUCACCGCUGGGCGGGUGGUGUCUUUUGGUCUCAUAACAAGUUGUACAAGAAGCCCAGCUCCUCCAGAGGCUCUUCCAGAGAACCUUGACAUUAGCUGCCUGAUUUCUGCUGAUGAUCUGUGGAUGUUCAAGUCAAACAUAUUUUUGCUGGAACAUAAGCCAACUUUGUGACAACUUGUCAGCAGAUGGCAUCUCAGUACCUGUGGACCAAAGCAACAAGUAAAUUUUGAGACCCAGAACAUCUUCGAAUACAUGAAAGGUUUGUAUCCCUAUACUUUAUAAACGUAUUUUAGCUUCUCAGAUGAUUGUUUUAGUUCCUCAGCUUGAAUAAAAAUAGAGACCAAAGGUGGGAUUAAGUCAGGAUUAAAUAUUUUCUUUGCAGCACUUUUCACUAGUUAUGCAUUUAAAAAUUAUUUUUGAGCCCCUACUCCUAGAUGCUGAAGACACUGCAGUGAAAAAGAGACAAAAUCUGGAGCUGAAAUUCCAGUAGGGCAGAAAGAUGACACACAAAUACAUUAUUAUGUAACAUAAUGUCAGAUAAGGAUGAGCGCUGAUGAAAACCAAUUAAGAAACUAGAGAAUUACAGGUAAUGUUAUGCUGGAGCCAGCAGGUACCAGCUGGUGAGAGCUGAUAAUUACAUUUGCAAAAAUGUUGAGAGUUUAUUAUUAAAGUGUUAGUAGCUUGAAAUCAGCUACUGUGGGAAUAUUUACAGAAAUUGGCAAAUGCUGCAAAUGAAGAUUCUGGCUCUUUUAUCUUAAGAGAGCUGAUUGUUAAACAUAACCAGCACACCGCUGGGUACAGGGGAGGGCACAGGGCUUUGAUUUAAAUAGGACAGUACGUGAAGGCUACUCAAAGGGUGGGAGACUCAGAUUUCUGGUGGAUAUCUGGUGGAAAUACCUCCAGUAGCAACUGUGCCAUCAGGAGGUUCAUUAUGCAGUGAACACAGACGUCGCAGAAAUAUUUUCACACAGUGACAGAGAAGAGAGAGAAAGAGGAACAGAAGACUAACUCUGAAAAGUCAUAUUCAUAUGGAACUCUGAUGAAUGACAGCAGUUGCCAGGUAGAGAAGAAGCAUUCACUAUAUGCUUUGGGACCUGUGCACUAAGGUUUCAGUUUGCCAAGAUUCAAGUGAAAGUGAGAAGAGGCUGCUGAAUGGGGCUAUGGUCAGGUAAUGGAGAUCUUUUUGAUACUGAUGAGGUUUGGAAUUUACCCUAAGGGCAAUGGGAAGCCUUAGAAAGAUUUUCAGCAGAAGCAUGACAUAUUCAGAUAUAUGUUUAAAAUAUCAUCCUGACUGUGAGAAAAACGGAAGCCAAACAGUCUUAGACCUUCUGCUGUUUCCCUAAGGCUCUUUGUUGUAGCUGACCAGAUGUUUUUGUAUCCUUGUGUUGUACAGAGUUGUGUACUAUGGAGAAGUAACUUACUUUUCUUUCUCAAUAGGAAUGGUAAAAAGGGCAAAGUGGAGAAUAUUCCAGUCACUGGUAAAAUAUGUUAUUGGCUUUUUUAAAAUUUUGCUUUCCUCAAGGAAAGACUGUUUUUAAGUGUAUUGAGUACAUAUUCAACACCUCUGUAAAGACAGUUUAUAAGGACUUUGAGAGAAUUUUAUGAUGUCUAUGACAAAAACAUAUUUAAACACUUGCAGCCUAAAGAAAUAAUGACAGAAAUAACUGAAAAUACCAAUUAUACCUGGGAA